rnacentral:rRNA from 1 species
UACGUAGGUCCCGAGCGUUGUCCGGAUUUAUUGGGCGUAAAGCGAGCGCAGGUGGUUUAUUAAGUCUGGUGUAAAAGGCAGUGGCUCAACCAUUGUAUGCAUUGGAAACUGGGAAACUUGAGUGCAGAAGAGGAGAGUGGAAUUCCACGUGUAGCAGUGAAAUGCGUAGAUAUAUGGAGGAACACCGGUGGCGAAAGCGGCUCUCUGGUCUGUAACUGACGCUGAGGCUCGAAAGCGUGGGGAGCAAACAGG